rnacentral:rRNA from 1 species
AUUGAACGCUGGCGGCAGGCCUAACACAUGCAAGUCGAGCGGAGGAAGGGAGCUUGCUCCUGGAUUCAGCGGCGGACGGGUGAGUAAUGCCUAGGAAUCUGCCUGGUAGUGGGGGAUAACGUCCGGAAACGGGCGCUAAUACCGCAUACGUCCUGAGGGCGAACGUGGGGGAUCUUCGGACCUCACGCUAUCAGAUGAGCCUAGGUCGGAUUAGCUAGUUGGUGGGGUAAAGGCCUACCAAGGCGACGAUCCGUAACUGGUCUGAGAGGAUGAUCAGUCACACUGGAACUGAGACACGGUCCAGACUCCUACGGGAGGCAGCAGUGGGGAAUAUUGGACAAUGGGCGAAAGCCUGAUCCAGCCAUGCCGCGUGUGUGAAGAAGGUCUUCGGAUUGUAAAGCACUUUAAGUUGGGAGGAAGGGCAGUAAGUUAAUACCUUGCUGUUUUGACGUUACCAACAGAAUAAGCACCGGCUAACUUCGUG